rnacentral:tRNA from 2 species
GGAGGGGUUCCCGAGCGGCCAAAGGGAGCAGACUGUAAAUCUGCCGUCAUCGACUUCGAAGGUUCGAAUCCUUCCCCCACCACCA